AUUAAAAAAACCUAUAACCAUCAGGUUAUAGGGCCCCUCUUAUAUUGAUUUGAAUGACACGAGCACGCAAAUCAAGUCAAGAAGGCAAAGGGAGAGGAGAAACCGGAGGAAGAACUUAUGGGGAAACGUAAGUCUUCUCCGCGG
rfam:Bacillus koreensis strain DSM 16467 scaffold13, whole genome shotgun sequence.